rnacentral:lncRNA from 1 species
GCCCUUUCAACACGCUACACUUUAUAAAACCCUGUCAGCUAUAGACCAACCUUAUCCACAGGCUGAGGUGAACAAACCUCUGGUAUCUACGGCCAUGUUAGCUUCAUUGUUUAGAUUGUAUUAUCGUUUUAUCAAUAACCGCAGUCAAAAGCUGCCAGCUGCAUUCUAUUCAAUCCCUCAAACCAAUAAACACAGAGGAAGGUUCUCCUCAGAACAACAGUCAGAGGAAGGUUCUCCAGAGAACAACAGACAGAGGAAGGUUCUCCUCAGAACAACAGACAGAGGAAGGUUCUCCUCAGAACAACAGACAGUGGAAGGUUCUCCAGAGAACAACAGACAGAGGAAGGUUCUCCUCAGAACAACAGACAGAGGAAGGUUCUCCUCAGAACAACAGUCAGAGGAAGGUUCUCCAGAGAACAACAGUCAGAGGAAGGUUCUCCUCAGAACAACAGACAGAGGAAGGUUCUCCUCAGAACAACAGACAGAGGAAGGUUCUCCUCAGAACAACAGACAGAGGAAGGUUCUCAUCAGAACAACAGACAGAGGAAGGUUCUCCUCAGGACAACAGACAGAGGAAGGUUCUCCAGAGAACAACAGACAGAGGAAGGUUCUCAUCAGAACAACAGACAGAGGAAGGUUCUCCUCAGAACAACAGACAGAGGAAGGUUCUCCUCAGAACAACAGACACAGGAAGUGGUUUGAUUUUAAUUAAGGAAAGACACUAUCUGCAUCUCUUACUUUCUCUCUCUUUUUUUUUAAUAGAAAUCAUUUUUUGCACAAUAUGAAAAAAUGUUCCUCACAUCUAAGACGAACUAACAUGGUAAAGGAAGUAAAGAAAGGAAGGAGAAGCAUUCAGCAUGGUGGUGUAUAAAUGAGUCUGAUCAGUAAAGACAGACUUCAUCACAGUAGGCAAUGGGAUGGAGACUGGUCCAGGGUCCUUUGUCUUGGGAAUGUCCACGGUAUUUAGCUGUGGGGGAAAUGAGGGAUUGAUAUGAGUUUCAUUUGUUGUUUUGUGAAGUUAUAA